rnacentral:lncRNA from 1 species
UAUACGUCUAACUAAUUUACUGGGUGAGCUGGUUGAAUCAUCGUCUGGGCUCAUAUGACACCUUUUUGGUGGUCGCAGUGCAGGUGUGGCAAUCAUCAGCUUUACAUGAGUUGAAGUGACUUUUACAGGAGUUCCUUGAAUGGUACCAGUUCCUACGAGAGAACAGACUUCAUUCUUAGUGGAAUCUCUCUCUUUAAUUGGAGUUACAGGUGGGUGAGAGUCUGCCAAACUAGCUUGAUA